rnacentral:rRNA from 1 species
UGGGGAAUAUUGCACAAUGGACGGAAGUUUGAUGCAGCGACGCCGCGUGGAGGGUGUAGGCCUUCGGGUCGUGAACUCCUUUUUCUCGCGAAAAAGGCACAGUUUUGGCUGUGUUGAUGGUAGUGGGGGAAGAAGCGCCGGCUAACUACGUGCCAGCAGCCGCGGUAAUACGUAGGGCGCGAGCGUUGUCCGGAUUUAUUGGGCGUAAAGAGCUCGUAGGUGGUUCGUCGCGUCUGUCGUGAAAGCCAGCAGCUUAACUGUUGGUCUGCGGUGGGUACGGGCGGGCUUGAGUGCGGUAGGGGUGACUGGAAUUCCUGGUGUAGCGGUGGAAUGCGCAGAUAUCAGGAGGAACACCGAUGGCGAAGGCAGGUCACUGGGCCGUUACUGACACUGAGGAGCGAAAGCGUGGGGAGCGAACAGG